UCAAGUACUAUCUAUAGAUAAGAAAAUCAAGUUGUUAAAAGGCAAGGAAAGAAUUGGAAAAUCUUUCCCAGCUGCACGAAUGGCACUUUUCCUUUGGGGGUAUACAAGUAAGGUAACUAGUAGAAAAGCCACUUUGACAACAUAAGAGAAGAAUCUUCGUAGAAAAAUUCUGCCGACAGAUAGAUGGGAACUAAUCAAUCAAGCAAAAGGAUUGAGUUGACCAAUUGGACCUGCAGUGUUGUGUUUAAUUCAAAAUCAUCAUCCAAGCUUUCUCCUUUGUCUAAUUUAUUG
rnacentral:lncRNA from 1 species